rnacentral:tRNA from 1 species
GAGCCAUUAGCUCAGCUGGUAGAGCAUCUGACUUUUAAUCAGAGGGUCAGAGCUUCGAAUCCUCUAUGGCUCA